UUAAGUCCCGCAACGAGCGCAACCCUCGCCUUUAGUUACCAUCAUUUGGUUGGGUACUCUAAAGGAACCGCCGGUGAUAAGCCGGAGGAAGGUGGGGAUGACGUCAAGUCCUCAUGGCCCUUACGCGCUGGGCUACACACGUGCUACAAUGGCGGUGACAGUGGGCAGCAAUCCCGCGAGGGUGAGCUAAUCUCCAAAAGCCGUCUCAGUUCGGAUUGUUCUCUGCAACUCGAGAGCAUGAAGGCGGAAUCGCUAGUAAUCGCGGAUCAGCAUGCCGCGGUGAAUACGUUCCCAGGCCUU
rnacentral:rRNA from 1 species